rnacentral:rRNA from 1 species
GAUGAACGCUGGCGGCGUGCCUAAUACAUGCAAGUCGAGCGAAUGGAUUAAGAGCUUGCUCUUAUGAAGUUAGCGGCGGACGGGUGAGUAACACGUGGGUAACCUGCCCAUAAGACUGGGAUAACUCCGGGAAACGGGGGCUAAUACCGGAUAACAUUUUGAACGGCAUGGUCAGAAAUUGAAAGGCGGCUUCGGCUGUCACUCAUGGAUGGACCCGCGUCGCAUUAGCUAGUUGGUGAGGUAACGGCUCACCAAGGCAACGUAGCGUAGCCGAACUGAGAGGGUGAUCGGCCACACUGGGACUGAGACACGGCCCAGACUCCUACGGGAGGCAGCAGUAGGGAAUCUUCCGCAAUGGACGAAAGUCUGACGGAGCAACGCCGCGUGAGUGAUGAAGGCUUUCGGGUCGUAAAACUCUGUUGUUAGGGAAGAACAAGUGCUAGUUGAAUAAGCUGGCACCUUGACGGUACCUAACCAGAAAGCCACGGCUAACUACGUGCCAGCAGCCGCAGUAA